rnacentral:rRNA from 1 species
UACGGAAGGGGGCUAGCGUUGCUCGGAUUGACUGGGCGUAAAGGGCGCGUAGGCGGUUCGUACAGUCAGACGUGAAAUUCCUGGGCUCAACCUGGGGGCUGCGUUUGAUACGUGCGGACUUGAGUGCGGAAGAGGGUCGUGGAAUUCCCAGUGUAGAGGUGAAAUUCGUAGAUAUUGGGAAGAACACCAGUGGCGAAGGCGGCUCACUGGCCCGUUACCGACGCUCAGGCGCGACGAGCGUGGG